UACGUAGGGGUGCGAGCGUUUGUCCGGAAUUAUUGGGCGUAAAGAGCUUGUAGGCGGUUUGUCGCGUCUGCUGUGAAAUCUCAAGGCUCAACCUUGAGCUUGCAGUGGGUACGGGCAGACUAGAGUGUGGUAGGGGGAGACUGGAAUUCCUGGUGUAGCGGUGAAAUGCGCAGAUAUCAGGAGGAACACCGAUGGCGAAGGCAGGUCUCUGGGCAUUAACUGACGCUGGAGGAGCGAAAGCCGUGGGGAGCGAACAGG
rnacentral:rRNA from 1 species